AAUAGAGGAACGAAGGCUAAAACCAUCACAUCCUGUGAUAACGCCUUCGUGACCAACUUCGGUGCUGUUGC
rfam:Lysinibacillus xylanilyticus strain DSM 23493 Scaffold4, whole genome shotgun sequence.